rnacentral:rRNA from 1 species
AGAGUUUGAUCCUGGCUCAGAACGAACGCUGGCGGCAUGCCUAACACAUGCAAGUCGAACGAGACCUUCGGGUCUAGUGGCGCACGGGUGCGUAACGCGUGGGAAUCUGCCCCUUGGUUCGGAAUAACAGUUAGAAAUGACUGCUAAUACCGGAUGAUGACUUCGGUCCAAAGAUUUAUCGCCAAGGGAUGAGCCCGCGUAAGAUUAGGUAGUUGGUGGGGUAAAGGCCUACCAAGCCGACGAUCUUUAGCUGGUCUGAGAGGAUGAUCAGCCACACUGGGACUGAGACACGGCCCAGACUCCUACGGGAGGCAGCAGUGGGGAAUAUUGGACAAUGGGCGAAAGCCUGAUCCAGCAAUGCCGCGUGAGUGAUGAAGGCCUUAGGGUUGUAAAGCUCUUUUACCAGGGAUGAUAAUGACAGUACCUGGAGAAUAAGCUCCGGCUAACUCCGUG